UUUUUAUUGGAUAUUGACUAUCACAUGUUGCGAUUUUAUUGGAGGUUGACUUUAAUUAGGUGCACAAAAUUAACAUCCAAUAAAUGCACAACAUGUGACGGUCAACGUUG
rfam:Glycine soja cultivar W05 scaffold198_6, whole genome shotgun sequence.